CCGAAACAGCAGAGAAGUUGAGCCUCGCGCUUCACAGCUCUUAGUUGUUAAGGAAAUUGACCCACUAUGCCGUUUCCUUUCUGCAUCUACGUCAGUCUACCUUUAAUACAGAGAACAAUGGUCGAGACAUGGUGUGUUAGAGAGGGUGACAGCGACAGAUGGAUAGAAAUAGAGAUAGACAGAGAUAUGAUGUUCAGGUCCACUUCUUUGCUGCACACCGGUGGGUAACAAGUCAUCUGGAGAGGAUAACACAACAUUCGGGGGUCACUUCAUAACUCAGAUACUCCACAAAGUGAGGGCCUACGAAAAACAAGAGAGUGGGAUUAUUUCAAUGAUCAAUUAUGUUCGCUAUGAUUUCUGACAUUGUUCUAUAAAUCGAAUAUCUCACCGUAUCACUACUCCACUCAAGACAUAUUUUCUUCAUUGAAAAAGAUCCCAUACCUUGCUUUCUGUGCCAUUCUUUGCGCAUGAACGCAGACUCCUUCUGCAGCCCCUUGAACACUGGAAAAACACAUCACUCCUGAUUAGGUAACAAAACUUUCACGUACAAUCACAUUUAUCUUUCAUGUAAUAUAGUCACGAUGAUGUGUCUUGUACAUUGACGUGG